GGCGUUGACCACCUGAGCAGCUCCCUUGUUUCGGCAAGGAUCUAUGUCCAUGGAAUGCAGGGAAGAGACAGCCGAGCGAGCGGGAGCACACGUGGCCCGAGGCACGCGCGGCGCGUCGGCCAGCAGCUCACACGGUAGUGCACGCGACGCCGGCCAACUUCCGCAAGCUGCUGGCCGGGCAGCUCAAGAAGCUCGUGGUCGGGGAAGCUGACCCGCGUGAAGAACUCGUUCAAGCUGGCCGCCGCCGGACGGGAGCUGGCCGUGGGUGAUUUUUUUUUCUUAUUUUUCAGAAAUAGAUAUGCAUAUGGGAUUGUAUGGAUUGGAUCUAUCUUGUAGUAAACAAUUUUUUGAAUGAUUUGUGGAAUCUAUGAGUAUUUUGUCGAUCGAUUUAAUAUC